rnacentral:tRNA from 1 species
GGGACUGUAGCUCAGUGGUAGGGUGCUUGCCUAGCACGCAUGAGGCACUGGGUUUGAUCCUCAGCACCA